rnacentral:lncRNA from 1 species
CGCCAGCCCCGCGCUCUACCAGGCAGAGCGCGUGUGGCCGCCGAGCACAUGGACCCACUGGUCAAGCGGGCUCGGCAAGGCCAGGAUGAAGAGAAGCUACGAACUUAGCAUUCCCAGAGCCCCCCGAGUGGAUAUCCGCGUGGAAAGGAUGUUGGCAGCCCCGGUGACCUCGGAGUCACGGCUGGAUCCACCCUCUUAGAGCCGAGUUCUGUCACCACAGACAUUGGCAGUGGCACUUGCAUGCCCCUGGCAAGCAGUCUAUCCUGAGGUGGAGGAAGUUGCCCUUGAGUUCUGGCUGGUAACCAGCACAGUAUACCCUUUAAGCGUUCCAGAAGGAUUUUGAGAUCCUUUCCUAAAUCAAAGGUGGAAUAUUUGGGGAUUUGGAAAAUUGAGCAUUUUUUUCCCCACUUGCUUGACUGUAAUGCUAACAUGCUCUCUCUGCUCCAACCUGGAGAAGCCAGUCUCUCAGAAGAACCAGUUGUGUUACUUUGCUGUGAGAUGCCUGCCCUAAGAGAGGAGCAGAAGGUCGGAACGGGUCCUCUAAUGUGAUAAUUAGGCUUCAGAGAAAUCAGGAGCGGUGAAUGAUCGAAAUGGACCUUUGAGAUUACAGUGUGGAGCUGACAUUGCCAGUUAAGCCUGGGCAGAUCUGACUUAAUUGAUUUAGUUGUUGGAGCAGAGACAACCCAGAGGCUUGGAUCAGCCUCCCCAUCUGACAGUGUGCUGAUGUGAAGCGUUGACUUAAGAGAUGCCAAGUAACUCAGCAGAUGUCACACAGACGAUAAAUAGCAAAGAUGGAAGUCUUCAUGCCGGAGGCAAUCCUAUAAGACAGCUGAGUUCUGCAGAGCUGGUAGGAGACAGACUUGCUCAGGUGAUAGAUCCAGCCAUGAUACUGACCCUAAGAGAAUGAGACGCUCUGCAGAAGACAGAAGAUUCCUGAAACUGGGAAAGGUGCCUAGAAAUCCUGAUAAGAGUGAAGAAGGAGCUGGCAGAGCAGCCUUCCUCCGCACUAUGAAAGACAUCCAACAGAGAGCAAGUUCCCACCUCACUUCCAGCUUGACUCCUUUUUAUCUCCUAACUGUGGUCUGUGAUGUCUUCAGCAAUGGGUACCUGGAGGCACAGCAGCCAUGUUGAACCUAUGAGGUGAUGAAAAACCAUGCAACUAGAAACCAGAAUGGAAGAAAAGAAGAAGCUGGAUCCUUGACUGAAUUGUCGAUGGGGGAUAGUCCAUCAUCCCAGGGCUAAGACCACCUCCAGAUUUCUUGUUUGGUGAAACAAGUCCUGAUUGUUUACAUUCCCUCGUGUUGAGCUGUCUCUUGCUUGUAGCUGAAAGCAUUUCUAAUAGAUAUUCAGAUUAUCAGCCUUAGCUCCAAGCUAGAAUACUCUAUGGGACCUUAGCUUCUCCAUGAAUUCCUUUGCUCAUCUGUGUAAUGCUCAAUAAAUGUAAAUUGAACCC